rnacentral:rRNA from 1 species
GGAAUAUUACACAAUGGGCGGAAGCCUGAUGCAGCGACGCCGCGUGAGGGAUGACGGCCUUCGGGUUGUAAACCUCUUUCAGCAGGGACGACGCGUACGUGACGGUACCUGCAGCCGAAGCGCCGGCCAACUACGUGCCAGCAGCCGCGGUAAGACGUAGGGCGCGAGCGUUGUCCGGAUUUAUUGGGCGUAAAGAGCUCGUAGGCGGCUUGUCGCGUCGACUGUGAAAACCCGCAGCUCAACUGCGGGCCUGCAGUCGAUACGGGCAGGCUAGAGUUCGGUAGGGGAGACUGGAAUUCCUGGUGUAGCGGUGAAAUGCGCAGAUAUCAGGAGGAACACCGGUGGCGAAGGCGGGUCUCUGGGCCGAUACUGACGCUGAGGAGCGAAAGCGUGGGGAGC